GACGAACGCUGGCGGCGUGCUUAACACAUGCAAGUCGAACGGAAAGGCCUGUCCUUCCUUGUGUUGGACGGGUACUCGAGUGGCGAACGGGUGAGUAACACGUGAGUGAUCUGCCCCCAACUUGGGUAUAAGCCUGGGAAACUGGGUCUAAUUCCCGAUAGGACUGCAGGGUGGUGCCUGUGGUGGAAAACGAUUUUCUAGUGGUUGGGGAUGAGCUCGCGGCCUAUCAGCUUGUUGGUGGGGUAAUGGCCUACCAAGGCGGCGACGGGUAGCCGGCCUGAGAGGGUGGACGGCCACAUUGAGACUGAGAUACGGCCCAGACUCCGACGGGAGGCAGCAGUGGGGAAUAGUGCACGAUGGGCGGAAGCCUGAUGCAGCGACGCCGCGUGGGGGAUGACGGCCUUCGGGUGGUAAGCUCCUUUCGGCCGCGAGGAGGCCGCCUGGUUGGGAGGGUGGUGACGGUAGUGGUAGAAGAAGCACCGGCUAACUACGUG
rnacentral:rRNA from 1 species